AUUGAACGCUGGCGGCAGGCCUAACACAUGCAAGUCGAACGGUAACAGGAAGCAGCUUGCUGCUUCGCUGACGAGUGGCGGACGGGUGAGUAAUGUCUGGGAAGCUGCCUGAUGGAGGGGGAUAACUACUGGAAACGGUAGCUAAUACCGCAUAAUGUCGCAAGACCAAAGAGGGGGACCUUCGGGCCUCUUGCCAUCGGAUGUGCCCAGAUGGGAUUAGCUUGUUGGUGGGGUAACGGCUCACCAAGGCGACGAUCCCUAGCUGGUCUGAGAGGAUGACGAAGCACAGUGGAACUUAGACACGGGGCAGACUCCUGGGGGAGGCAGGAGUGGGGAAAAGAGGACGACUGGCGGGAGGCUUAUUCAGCCAUGCGGCGAGUAUGAAAAAAGCCUUAGGGUUUUAGAGUACUUUCAGCGGGGGGGAAGGGAGCAAAGUUUAUCCCUGUGCUCACAGACGUGGACCGCAAAAGAAGCACCGGCCAACUCCGUG
rnacentral:rRNA from 1 species